ensembl:snRNA U6 U6 spliceosomal RNA
ACUGAACUGAACUGAAUUGAUAGUAAGACUGGAACAACACAGAGAAAAUUGGUAUAACUCCUACAUACAGAUGACACACAAAUUCGUGAAGUAUCCUGUGUGUUU